UACGUAGGGGGCAAGCGUUGUCCGGAAUCAUUGGGCGUAAAGAGCGUGUAGGCGGCCCGGUAAGUCCGCUGUGAAAGUCGGGGGCUCAACCCUCGAAUGCCGGUGGAUACUGUCGGGCUAGAGUGCGGAAGAGGCGACUGGAAUUCCUGGUGUAGCGGUGAAAUGCGCAGAUAUCAGGAGGAACACCAGCGGCGAAGGCGGCGCUCUGGGCCGGAACUGACGCUGAGGAGCGAAAGCGUGGGUAGCAAACAGG
rnacentral:rRNA from 1 species